UCAUGGCAGUUCCUCUUACUGCUUAGAGCCUUAGGUAGUGGGAAUUUGGUCCAUUAUAUAUUUAAGCUAACUUGUCUUCACUCCCAGCACCAUGAGGAUGAAGUGGCUGUUCAUUUGUGCCUUCCAAUUUUUGCAGAGUCAAAUAACU